CAGUCGAGCGAGCGGAACAACAGAUUUACUUCGGUAAUGACGUUGGGAAAGCGAGCGGCGGAUGGGUGAGUAACACGUGGGGAACCUGCCCCUAAGUCUGGGAUACCAUUUGGAAACAGGUGCUAAUACCGGAUAAUAAAGCAGAUCGCAUGAUCAGCUUUUGAAAGGCGGCGUAAGCUGUCGCUAAGGGAUGGCCCCGCGGUGCAUUAGCUAGUUGGUAAGGUAACGGCUUACCAAGGCGACGAUGCAUAGCCGAGUUGAGAGACUGAUCGGCCACAUUGGGACUGAGACACGGCCCAAACUCCUACGGGAGGCAGCAGUAGGGAAUCUUCCACAAUGGACGCAAGUCUGAUGGAGCAACGCCGCGUGAGUGAAGAAGGUUUUCGGAUCGUAAAGCUCUGUUGUUGGUGAAGAAGGAUAGAGGUAGUAACUGGCCUUUAUUUGACGGUAAUCAACCAGAAAGUCACGGCUAACUACGUGCCAGCAGCCGCGGUAAUACGUAGGUGGCAAGCGUUGUCCGGAUUUAUUGGGCGUAAAGCGAGCGCAGGCGGAAAAAUAAGUCUAAUGUGAAAGCCCUCGGCUUAACCGAGGAACUGCAUCGGAAACUGUUUUUCUUGAGUGCAGAAGAGGAGAGUGGAACUCCAUGUGUAGCGGUGGAAUGCGUAGAUAUAUGGAAGAACACCAGUGGCGAAGGCGGCUCUCUGGUCUGCAACUGACGCUGAGGCUCGAAAGCAUGGGUAGCGAACAGGAUUAGAUACCCUGGUAGUCCAUGCCGUAAACGAUGAGUGCUAAGUGU
rnacentral:rRNA from 1 species